ACGUUUCAACAACGGAUCUCUUGGCUCUCGCAUCGAUG
rnacentral:rRNA from 1 species